UGGGGAAUCUUGGACAAUGGGCGCAAGCCUGAUCCAGCCAUGCCGCGUGAGUGAAGAAGGCCUUCGGGUUGUAAAGCUCUUUUACCAGGGACGAUAAUGACGGUACCUGGAGAAUAAGCCCCGGCAAACUUCGUGCCAGCAGCCGCGGUAAUACGAAGGGGGCUAGCGUUGUUCGGAAUUACUGGGCGUAAAGCGCACGUAGGCGGAUUGUUAAGUCAGAGGUGAAAUCCCGGAGCUCAACUUCGGAACUGCCUUUGAUACUGGCAAUCUCGAGUCCGGAAGAGGUUAGUGGAAUUCCCAGUGUAGAGGUGAAAUUCGUAGAUAUUGGGAAGAACACCAGUGGCGAAGGCGGCUAACUGGUCCGGUACUGACGCUGAGGUGCGAAAGCGUGGGGAGCAAACAGGAUUAGAUACCCCAGUAGUCCCUGAGCGGGCUGGCAAGGCGCAU
rnacentral:rRNA from 1 species